rnacentral:lncRNA from 1 species
AUCAAAGUUUUUAGCUGACUUGCUAUGCUUCACGGCAGCAAUACCAAAUGAUCCCCCGCAAUGCUGUGAGCCCUAGGAUUUAUUUUCCUUUUUAUGGUAGGAGGCCUAACCGGCACUGUACUAGCCAACUCAUCAUUAGACAUUGUGUUAUAUGACAGAUACUAUGUUGUAGCCCACUUCCACUACGUCUUAUUAAUAGGAGCCAUAUUCACUAUUAUAGGGG